ensembl:lncRNA
AGAAAAUUUAUCGUGCAAAGAGGAAUCUUCCAUUGAAGGAGACCAUGUUUAUCGCCUGUACAGUGAGUUUUCCAUUUUGAUGUGGAUAAUUUCUUGAAACUUUUUGUCUCCAGGGGAUUUAUCUUCAAUCUCAAAAAUAAUCUGUCUAUUCUGUAUGCUAUACUUCCUUGCCCUCAUAUUCCUAAAAUCCUACAUGUGCUACUUCUUGUAUAUUCCAUAUAGGAGUCUCCACAGAGGUACUGAUACGAAUUCUGAUAUUUCUAUCUGCAAAGGAAGUGUUUUGAGAUCCUUUUGUAGAAUACAAUCCAAAUCCAUCAUCCUCUGUACUAUGAUUGGCCUCGUUAUCUUUAUCUCAUUUUAGUUUCCAUUUUUCUCCAGUGUUUGACAGCUGGUGAUCUCAGACACAGUCAGAAUUAUGAAACAGUUUUUCUUCACCACAUUUGGACUCUUGUUUUGUUUCUCUUCUAGAACUCCUCUCAUUGGACACCCAUUGUCUUAUUAGACUUGCUUGUAGAAUCAGACCUCAGGAUGUGCCUUGGAGAAAAGGAAUUUACAAUUUUUUCUUGUCAUCAAAGAUACAUAGGCUAGUCUUGAGCAUUAAAUAAUAUUUUUUGGUAGUCACUGAUGUAAUCUUCAGCGAUUCUGAUUUCUCAGUCUGUAAGCACUGAUAAGGACCAUUCCAGAUUAGUCCUCUUCAUAGUCUCAGAGGUCCUCUCUUCUUUCCUUGGAGUCACCCAGUGUACCUAAUACCUCAAGCACUGCAUAAAGAAGGUGAGGUGCAACUUCUUGUUGUAGAGGCAGGUAUCUGCAUAUUCUCUCCUACUAUGCUUGAAGCAUUUAGUGAUGUUUUUUUCCUCUAUUGAAAAGUAGAAACCUUACUGCUGCUUACUCUCAUUUUUGUGCUUUUUAUUUACUAGUCUUUUGACAAAGGUCUGUUCUGUCUCUCCUCCUCCUCUCCAAAAAAUGCUUUUUAUAAUAGUUAUCCAUGUGGCCAAGAGAGCAAAAAAGAGUCAGGCUCUAGGCUCUAAGAGUGUAUAUUCUACACUCUUCAAGAAGUUAGGUUACUUCAGAGAUUCAUUAUUUUUGUUUUCUGAACAUGGAUUCCAUCAUUUCAAGUAAAAGGAUUAUCUGUCCUAAUACUUAAGCAUAUCCACAGAAUUCAGUGGGUGCUAUACUGGCUUCAUCUUCUUUAUGUUCACAGGAGAAGCUCAAUCGAGUUAUCCUCUCAUCUGUGUCUGCAAGAAAUGGGUAAUUUUGGUGCAGAGGUUCUUUCAGGAGACUAUGAUGAGGUUUGGAUGUGAAAAUUGGCUAGACUUUCCAAAAGGAAAAUCCUGUAUAUGAAGACUUGUUUAGGGGGAAAAAAAUUCUUGGACUAAUUAGACUUCCUACUCCUGCAUAUUUGAGUCAACAGACAUUGUGUACUGCUUCCUUGGCAAAACCAUGCAAAGAGGAUCAGACAGAACUUUGGCUUCCCUAUCUUCCUAACAGACUGGAAUUUCGGAAGGGAGAGUUGUAUGUUUUUACAUCUGACUUCAAUUAUUUAUUUUAUGAACCAUCCUAACACAGGAUUGGC